AGGACAUUGUCAGAAACCGCCUAAAAAACCGCCCAAAAACAUUAACCCAUCAUAAUUAUUUUCUAUUUUUUUUAAUACAUUAAGCACCCUUUCAUUCUAAUGGACACUUAAGCAUUGAAAAAUUAAAUAAAUAAGUCUUUUAACGUUUAUUCUAUAAUACUAUUACAACUUCCGGACGUUUUGGUGCGUGGCAUGGUCUAAAACCUAUCAAGUUCCAUAAUUUUUGCCGAUAAAAUCUGUACGAGGCAUUACCGUACUUUAUUGCUGGGAGUCCAUGUAUAGUGAUGUUCCUGCGGCCAUCAUAGACAAUAAAAUAUCGAUUUUGAAAAUAAAAUAAAUCGAUUAAACUGCUUUGAAGACUAGAUUUGCGUUAAAAGCUAAAAAGAUAUUGACAGUUUGACACUAUUACAAGAAGAUAUCUAAAGUGUCCAACUGGUCGAAGGUCGUAAAUAAAAUAAAAAUAAUUAGGACCAUAAACUGAUAUUCAUGGUAUCAUAACUGUAAAAGUGUCAGAAUCCGAUGUUGAAUCCAAUGCCAGUUGAAGUGUGAGAAACAUAUAUUUUUUUUUUUUAUGUGACAGGAGGCAAAUGAGCAGACGGAUCACCUGAUAUCAACCUAGUAUAGUUGCCAGUCUCUCAUAAUCUAUGCCAAUGAGGGUUUUCGCGAUUGAAAAAUCCGCCAGAUGGCAAUACGUAGACGUGAGGUCCAAAUGCUGCAUGAUUGGUUAUUUUUGACAUGACAUUGACAGAUAUCCACCAAUCAUGCAGCAUUUGGACCUCGCGUCUACGUAUUGCCAUCUCGCGGAUUUUUCAAUCGCGAAAACCCUCAUUCAUAGCACAUGUAUAAUAAUAGACCAAAUGAACUUUUAUAGAUUGUGAAAGAGAAGAUAAAGAUUUUAUUAUUUUAUUAAAAUCUUGCCACGAGGUAGUUUUUCAGUAGAAACCAGGAUUGGAUAAUCGCUACAGAAAGAAAACCAAUGUGGUGCCCUUAUUAUUCAUGCUGUUUGAAAGUUACAAGUCAGUGAUACAGAGUUGCCGACAUUAUAACUCCGUAGUGAUACCAUACCAAAGAAGAAGUUUUCCUAAACACUUGUGUUGUUUUUAUAUGUGAUCGAAUAAAAAGGAUUAAUUCUACUGCUCAAAUGGAAUAACUUAUCCCAAGAGACCGAAUAUAAAAAAAACCUCUCCAUAGAAAUUAUCACCAUCACGAGGAUGUGAAUUUUUUUGAGAAUUUGAUAUUGGUCCUGUAAGAAAAGUAGUUGUAUUUCAGUAGUAGAAUCAACCCUUCUUGUUUCAUCAGCAAGAGUAACUAUAAAAACGCCCUGUAGGUAGGUAUUAUUAAGCUGAAGAGUUUGUUUAGUGUCAAAGACUGUCACACAGUGUAACUUAAAUUGGCAUAUUAUGAUAAUGAACAUAAAAACUUAAAUAAAUAUUUAUGUUAAUA